UACGUAGGGGGCUAGCGUUGUCCGGAUUUAUUGGGCGUAAAGAGCGUGUAGGCGGCCAGGUAGGUCCGUUGUGAAAACUCGAGGCUCAACCUCGAGACGUCGGCGGAAACCCUCUGGCUAGAGUCCGGAAGAGGAGAGUGGAAUUCCUGGUGUAGCGGUGAAAUGCGUAGAUAUCUGGAGGAGCACCGAUGGCGAAGGCGGGUCUCUGGACCGAUACUGACACUGAGGAGCGAAAGCGUGGGGAGCGAACAGG
rnacentral:rRNA from 1 species